CAGUAUUCAUUGUAGCUCUCUGCGCACCGAGUUCAAUUCCUACUGUGAUCAGCUUCGUCUUUCAUCCUUUCAGAAUCGAUAAAGAACUGGCUCAACGUUAUAAGCGUCACCAGUCACAUAUCUUUGCGUUCGAAGAUGGCAAUGGCCAGGGUUCUUCACUUGACGACAUGAGCACCCUGUCCAAAUCGCAGUUGUUCCUCAUAAACAGUAUACGCAAGUCGACAAUAGGUAAAUGAAAAUCCCUGUUAUUUUGCAAUCUACUUCGUUUAAACUAGUGAUUAAUGUGGAGGUGAGGGAGCAAACUUCCACAUUUAAUAUUUGUCCAAUAUAAUGGCGAUGUAAUCGACUAGCCCCCCCCCCCCUCUUACCAAAAUUUCAGGUCUUGUGCCUCUAGUAGAAAGGAAUGUAAUCACGAAACAAAUAGAACGAUACGGAUGUAAACUGACUGUCUUAUCAUUAACAAAGAAUUAAUAAAAUUUGACUAAUAUUCUUUGGAGUAAUCUGUCUUUUGUCAGUUGGAGAAUCACUUUGAUUAAGUCACUUUGAUAAGUAAGUAACCUUGAAACGUAACUCAUUACAGUUGCCGCUGUCUUGAAAUCCAAGUUUGCUCUGUCUCAGUGGCUAAUUAAUGUAAAUCAGUGGAAUCAAUUAAAACAGAAAAGGUGAUUCAAGUCAUGCACUCGAAAUACUUUUGUAAAACUGCCCAGAAAUCAGUUGAAUUCUGCCGUUUGGAUCAGUGAGACGCACAAUGGUAAAUGUUGGCAGCAGGAUGGAGGAACCAAAAACGGGGAAAGGCAACUUUAAAAUCCACUAUCCUGCUUUGGAUUCUUUUUGGUAACUAAACUCUGAGAUUUUCUAGGUAACUUGCAAUUGUAACAGGUUUUUAAAGAAUUGACACACAAGAGAGUUGAGACAAGACAAGGUAAGGCCAUCUCUUUUGACCAGCUCUCACGAUGUAGUGUUUUGAUUCAAGUAAAAAAUGAAAUUAGCCUCUUUGUUACAAAACAGAUAUUAAAUCUAUCGAAAAUUUGCUUCACAAUUAAGAUGCAUACCUUUGUAAUUUAUUCGUUGUUAUUUUUAAAAACGUAAUAUAGGAUGCGAAAUUAUGAUUACUGAUGAUAGUCACUUAGUAAACUCGUCAGAUAUGAAAAUUUAGACCAUUUCAUUUAAUAUCCAUUCCCUCCAGUCGUAAAAACGAAGUUUGAAAGUUACAUCUUUAUAUAUAAAAGAGAAGUUGUGUGCUGUCUGUCUCCUACGAUUUAGAUUCCUAACUACUCCCACAUUUUGCGGUGCAGUUUAACCAAAACCGGGUAUCUUAUAGUCGUGAUUCAUAUCGAGCCCUUCUGGGUAUUAGCGCGCGUCUACGAUGAGUCUACGAUUUAAAAAAAAAAUUACAAUAAUUUUUUCCAUUUUAAUGCAUUUUUUCGCUAUUAUAUAAGGGAAGUAACUCUCUAAAAAUGUCUACGAUGAGUCAAAACGAUUUAAAAAAAAAUUACCAUAAUUUUUUUUUCAUUGUUAAUGCAUUUUUUUGGCUAUAACUCUCUAAAAAUGCUUAUAUAGUUAUUUCCCUUACAAACCCGAGCAACGCCGGGCGAUACUGCUAGUUAAAUCUAAUUUAAUAUCUUCGGAAGAUUUAAUUUUUUCACAUUGUCGAGCAAUGUUACUCUUAAUUUCUUCUUUCCUUUGACAUGACUUUUAACAUGUAGAAACUUGUAGUGACAGAAAAAAAAAACAACAACUUUAGAUUGCUGAAACUCUUCCUAUUCGACUUUUGCAAGUAAAUUCACGAGUAAAGAAGUUAUAAUUGUCCUGUAUCCUUCCUUCUAUUUUUCCACCCUUUAAUAUACACAUCAGUUAAAACGUCUACUUUGCAGAUAAAGAAAGGAAAAACAUUUCUCUCACAGACAAGCGAUGAAAAUAGUCACGUUUGAAUGAUAUUGGCAAUUAAGGUUUAUGGUGUGAGUACCUUGCUGUAGUCUUCGCUGAAUAAAAAGGAACCAAAAUGAAAUUCUGAGGACCGAAUGCAUAUUGAUUAACAUCGGAAG
rnacentral:lncRNA from 1 species